rnacentral:rRNA from 1 species
GGAAUAUUGCACAAUGGGCGCAAGCCUGAUGCAGCAACGCCGCGUGAGGGACGACGGCCUUCGGGUUGUAAACCUCUUUUAGUAGGGAAGAAGCGAAAGUGACGGUACCUGCAGAAAAAGCACCGGCUAACUACGUGCCAGCAGCCGCGGUAAUACGUAGGGUGCGAGCGUUGUCCGGAAUUAUUGGGCGUAAAGAGCUCGUAGGCGGUCUGUCGCGUCUGCUGUGAAAACCCGAGGCUCAACCUCGGGCCUGCAGUGGGUACGGGCAGACUAGAGUGCGGUAGGGGAGAAUGGAAUUCCUGGUGUAGCGGUGGAAUGCGCAGAUAUCAGGAGGAACACCGAUGGCGAAGGCAGUUCUCUGGGCCGUAACUGACGCUGAGGAGCGAAAGCGUGGGGAGCGAACAGG